rnacentral:rRNA from 1 species
GACGAACGCUGGCGGCGUGCCUAAUACAUGCAAGUAGAACGCUGAGGACUGGUGCUUGCACUGGUCUAAGGAGUUGCGAACGGGUGAGUAACGCGUAGGUAACCUACCUCAUAGCGGGGGAUAACUAUUGGAAACGAUAGCUAAUACCGCAUGACAAUAGGGUACACAUGUACCCUAUUUAAAAGGGGCAAAUGCUUCACUAUGAGAUGGACCUGCGUUGUAUUAGCUAGUUGGUAAGGUAACGGCUUACCAAGGCAACGAUCAGUAGCCGACCUGAGAGGGUGACCGGCCACAUUGGGACUGAGACACGGCCCAA